AGAGUUUGAUCAUGGCUCAGAACGAACGCUGGCGGCGUGGAUAAGACAUGCAAGUGGGACGCUAAUCAAAGGGUAGCAAUAUUCGUUGGUUGGAGUCGCGUAAGGGUGCGUAACACGUGGGUAAUUUGCCGUGAAGCUCGGAAUAACUUGCCGAAAGGUAAGCUAAUACCGAAUGUGACUUGUGCUGGGCAUCCAGUAUCAGUCAAAGCCGGGGAUCGUAAGACCUGGCACUUCAUGAUAAGCCCGCGGCCUAUCAGCUAGUUGGUGAGGUAACGGCUCACCAAGGCUAAGACGGGUAGCUGGUCUUAGAGGACGACCAGCCACACUGGAACUGAGACACGGUCCAGACACCUACGGGUGGCAGCAGUCGAGAAUUUUUCACAAUGGGCGAAAGCCUGAUGGAGCGACGCCGCGUGGGGGAUGAAUGGCUUCGGCCCGUAAACCCCUGUCAUUCGGGAUCAAAUCUGGCAACCUAACACGUUGUCAGUUGAUAGUACUGAAAGAGGAAGGGACGGCUAACUCUGUGCCAGCAGCCGCGGUAAUACAGAGGUCCCAAGCGUUGUUCGGAUUUACUGGGCGUAAAGGGAGCGUAGGUGGCAUUCUAAGUCUGAUGUGAAAGCUCUGAGCUUAACUCAGAAAUGGCAUUAGAUACUAGUUUGCUUGAGGAUUGGAGGGGAGAUUGGAAUUCUUGGUGUAGCAGUGAAAUGCGUAGAUAUCAAGAGGAACACCAGUGGCGAAGGCGAAUCUCUGGACAAUUCCUGACACUGAUGCUCGAAAGCUAGGGGAGCAAACGGGAUUAGAUACCCUAGUAGUCC
rnacentral:rRNA from 1 species